rnacentral:rRNA from 1 species
UACGUAGGUGGCAAGCGUUGUCCGGAUUUAUUGGGUUUAAAGGGUGCGUAGGCGGUUUUCUAAGUCAGUUGUGAAAUACGGCAGCUUAACUGUCGAGGUGCAAUUGAUACUGGAAGACUUGAGUACUGAUGAGGUAGGCGGAAUGGACGGUGUAGCGGUGAAAUGCGUAGAUAUCGUCAAGAACACCGAUAGCGAAGGCAGCUUACUAGACUGUAACUGACGCUGAGGCACGAAAGUGUGGGGAUCAAACAGG